rnacentral:rRNA from 1 species
GAUGAACGCUGGCGGCGUGCCUAAUACAUGCGAGUCGAGCGAACAGACGAGGAGCUUGCUCCUCUGACGUUAGCGGCGGACGGGUGAGUAACACGUGGAUAACCUACCUAUAAGACUGGGAUAACUUCGGGAAACCGGAGCUAAUACCGGAUAAUAUAUUGAACCGCAUGGUUCAAUAGUGAAAGACGGUUUUGCUGUCACUUAUAGAUGGAUCCGCGCCGCAUUAGCUGGUUGGUAAGGUAACGGCUUACCAAGGCAACGAUGCGUAGCCGACCUGAGAGGGUGAUCGGCCACACUGGAACUGAGACACGGUCCAGACUCCUACGGGAGGCAGCAGUAGGGAAUCUUCCGCAAUGGGCGAAAGCCUGACGGAGCAACGCCGCGUGAGUGAUGAAGGUCUUCGGAUCGUAAAACUCUGUUAUUAGGGAAGAACAAAUGUGUAAGUAACUAUGCACGUCUUGACGGUACCUAAUCAGAAAGCCACGGCUAACUACGUG